GGAAAGGAGAAAAAUGAAAGGGAGGGAAAAGGGAGGAAAAGAAAAGAGAACCCCCAUUUUCCCCUCCUUUUAAUGUGUAACUUUGCCAGAUUUGUAGAGAUCUUCAAUCGCUUUCUCUUCUCUGACUCUCACGAAGACAGCGACAUGUCCUCUUCCUUCUCUGCGUGCUUUAUUACUACUCUUCCGUGAUUUAUGCAUUUCCCUUUCAUUUUUUUUUCUAUGUUUAUAUCUCUU
rnacentral:misc_RNA from 1 species